GACGAACGCUGGCGGCGUGCUUAACACAUGCAAGUCGAACGAUGGAAGUGGAGCUUGCUCCGCUGGAUUAGUGGCGAACGGGUGAGUAACACGUGGGCAACCUGCCCCAGACUCUGGGAUAACUCCUCGAAAGAGGUGCUAAUACCGGAUACGAACUCCUUGGGCAUCCUUGGAGUUGGAAAGUUUUUCGGUCUGGGAUGGGCCCGCGGCCUAUCAGCUUGUUGGUGGGGUAGUGGCCCACCACGGCGACGAAGGGUAGCCGGCCUGAGGGGGCGACCGGCCACACUGGGACCGAGACACGGCCCAGACUCCUACGGGAGGCAGCAGUGGGGAAUAUCGCGCAAUGGGCGAAAGCCUGACGCAGCGACGCCGCGUGAGGGAUGACGGCCUUCGGGUUGUAAACCUCUUUCAGCAGGGAAGAAGCGAAAGUGACGGUACCUGCAGAAGAAGCACCGGCUAACUACGUGCCAGCCGCCGCGGUAA
rnacentral:rRNA from 1 species